rnacentral:miRNA from 1 species
UCGUAUCAGAGAUUCCAGACAC